AAGAUGGCCACGGAGACAGCAGCGUGGUCAGAGUGGUAGGAGCCGGCCAUCAGCGAGAGCUGCUCCAUGCCUGGCUGCUGGGUGCUACAGCCUGUGGCCCACUGGCUUGCCUCACUGUGGUUGGUGGUGGCGGUGACAGAGACUGCAGCACGACCAAAGUGGCUUUUCUGGCUUUGCCCGCCCAGCUGCUCCAUGCCAGGAGGAGGAGGAGACACCUAGAGCCUGCGACACCACGGCUCGCCUCGCUGCGGGAGGGUGGCAUCAACGGAGACUGCAGUGCACCAGAGUGUUCUAGAGUGUAUGAAGAACCAAAUGAUGGAGAUGACUCAUCAGAAAAAGAAGAAAA
rnacentral:lncRNA from 10 species